rnacentral:rRNA from 1 species
CCUACGGGAGGCAGCAGUGGGGAAUAUUGCACAAUGGGGGAAACCCUGAUGCAGCGACGCCGCGUGAGUGAAGAAGUAAUUCGUUACGUAAAGCUCUAUCAGUAGGGAAGAAAAUGACGGUACCUGAGCAAGAAGCUCCGGCUAACUACGUGCCAGCAGCGGCGGUAAUACGUAGGGGGCAAGCGUUAUCCGGAUUUACUGGGGGUAAAGGGAGCGUAGACGGUUCGCCAAGUCUGGAGUGAAAUGCCGCAGCUUAACUGCGGAACUGCUUUGGAAACUGGGGAACUAGAGUGCGUGAGGGGUAAGCGGAAUGCCGGGUGUAGCGGUGAAAUGCGUAGAUAUUAGGAAGAACCCCGGUGGCGAAGGCGGCUUACUGGACCGUAACUGACGUUGAGGCUCGAAAGCGUGGGGAGCAAACAGGAUUAGAUACCCUAGUAGUC